AGUUCAGACUUGUGCUUUUCAGAUCUGUAAACUGCAGCCAUUUCUUGGGGAAAGGGAGGGGUGUUUGGGGGCUGUAGUGCUAAGUAGCCCCAGUUACUCAUGGGGAGGAGGAAAUAGAGUGGUUGGCAAACCCUAGAGAGGAGGAAGUGCUGGGGAGUAGGCAACAAGUUUGGGGACUGAGUAGACAACUGCAUGUUAUAGGGUCCCUGGGUUAGAACCUGGCAUAGAAAGCAGGUCUGGGUUUCUCUCCUUGCCACUGGGGAAGUGAUACUGGUGGGGCAGUGAACUGGAAGCCUGUCUGGGUUGUUGUGGGAGUAACAGAGACUGUGAAGGACUAUACCUGGGCUGGGAGGGGGCACCCUGAGUGACCUGGCCAGAGGACUGAGAUCUUAGGAGGCUGCUGUGGUUCCUGGAGUGAGAGAAAGGCAGACGACCAGUGACAGAAGGAUGGCGUGACAGCGUGCCCACUGCGGAACAGGGCGUUGACCUCGAAAGCUAAUCACCAGAGCGAUCAUGAGACCGCAUCAGACAAGCGGUGGAUUGUUCUGAGACUUGGUGCCAGAGGAGGAGCGCAACGUCGGAAGAGUCGCCUGUGUGAGCCAGCUGCUACUAUGAGCCAGGAAUGAACAGCUGAUCACCCAGGGAAAGCGAAAGGAGAAAUGCACUUAAUAGAAAAGACCCAGUGCAAGCCACAUGCAAACUUGAGCCCAUUUGUCCUUCAAAAGCUCAGUCAAGGGGCUAUUUUGUUUUUCAGAUCACAGCUUCAUUAUAUUCACAGCGACACUUAGGGCUGGCUCAGCAUCUCCAUUUUAAGUUCUCAUUUUCAGGGGGCUUGUGUGUGCUGGGGAAAAGAAAAAGCACUCUGCCCUGACCCCAUCGCUCUCAGGGUUGCAGCAUGGACAGGGAGGCUCCCUGCUCUGAGAACUGGGGUGCGGGGGGCAGAGGUGAGAUGAUCAGAUCUGAUGCAUGGGAUACAGAACCCCUGAAAUGUGGGAUGUUAUGGGAUGCUGUGCCCCUCCCUCAAACAUAGGACACAGAUUCCUGACGUGGGAUACAGAUCUCCUUGUGGAUCAAGCCUUAAGAGAUUCACAUCCUGAUCUUGCAAACACUUAAACGUAUGAGUAAUUUUAUGCAAAUACAGUGAAAUCUCCCCGUUGGCACAGGGCCAGCACAUUAAGCCCCUGUUGAAGGCUUAAGUGACAUACUGACCUCACGCAGGCCCUCUGUGUGGGGGUGGAUUUCACCCAUUGAGUUGUCCCACUAUUUCUGUGCCUUAGUGUUUGCAGGAUCAGGGCCUCAGCUUAUUCUUUUGUGAUGGAGGCCUGGGGUCCUGCCGGUCCACCAUUACCAGGGGAGUGGCCCUUUGGCACGUGCAAGGCCCAGUGUGCCUCUUCCAGAGCCCACGAAAGCAGUGAUUUGGGGGAUUCCAGAUGGAAUACAUGACUGCCUCUGUGGCUUGCAUGAGGCAGAGUUCUGAGCGCCCUCUGGAAGAUGUCCGGUGUGGUGGGGGUUUUAGACAGACAGCCCUCAGGAGCAGGCUUGUGUAGAGUGGAACUUUGUCUGUUAAUAAACCAAACCCCAGAAGGGAAAAUAUAAUUUGGAAGCCCGAGCUAGGUACUGUUUGACUUACAGAAAGGAAACCGAGGCCUGGCCAGACCAAUGAUGGGGAAGGGAGUAAGCUGACCCUGUGGCAUCUCUCUCAACAUGUGAGAGCUCAGAAUCUGAGCCCAGGUGUUGUCUAAGGAUCCUGGCCAGUCAUCCUCUACUCUGUAAUGCAGAGGAGCAUCUCAUGAGCUAGCGUAAUCAGUGCAGCUCGAUUGGUGCACAUUCAGCUACGUGCGCUUGCACCAGCUGAGUCUGCUGCUGAAUCUAUUCUAAGUGUUUUAGUUGUAAUCUUUUAUAUUUUAAAAAAAAGUGAGGAUUUUUUUCUCGUUAUUUAAAGAUGGUUUAAAUUUAACAGUGGCCAGUUGUCAACUGACUCAUCCAUAAUUAGCAUGACAUGGUUGUGGUGUAUUUUUGGUUGUGGGAUAGAAGCAGCAGAGGCCAAGUUAUUGAAGUUUCAAUCCUGAUGUUUGGUAACUUUUUUUUUUAUUUUCU